rnacentral:rRNA from 1 species
CGGUGGAGCAUGUGGUUUAAUUCGAAGCAACGCGCAGAACCUUACCAGCCCUUGACAUCCCGGUCGCGGUUCCAGAGAUGGAUUCCUUCAGUUCGGCUGGACCGGUGACAGGUGCUGCAUGGCUGUCGUCAGCUCGUGUCGUGAGAUGUUGGGUUAAGUCCCGCAACGAGCGCAACCCUCGCCCUUAGUUGCCAUCAUUCAGUUGGGCACUCUAAGGGGACUGCCGGUGAUAAGCCGAGAGGAAGGUGGGGAUGACGUCAAGUCCUCAUGGCCCUUACGGGGCUGGGCUACACACGUGCUACAAUGGUGGUGACAGUGGGCAGCGAGACCGCGAGGUCGAGCUAAUCUCCAAAAGCCAUCUCAGUUCGGAUUGCACUCUGCAACUCGAGUGCAUGAAGUUGGAAUCGCUAGUAAUCGCGGAUCAGCAUGCCGCGGUGAAUACAUUCCCGGGCCUU